rnacentral:rRNA from 1 species
UACGUAGGGUGCAAGCGUUAAUCGGAAUUACUGGGCGUAAAGCGUGCGCAGGCGGUUUUGUAAGUCUGUUGUGAAAUCCCCGGGCUCAACCUGGGAAUGGCAAUGGAGACUGCAAGGCUAGAGUUUGGCAGAGGGGGGUAGAAUUCCACGUGUAGCAGUGAAAUGCGUAGAUAUGUGGAGGAACACCGAUGGCGAAGGCAGCCCCCUGGGUCAAAACUGACGCUGAGGAGCGAAAGCAUGGGGAGCGAACAGG